AAAAAAAAAAAAAAGUCAGAUGAAAGCAGGGAAAUUAAGCCAAGCCAAAGUACAACUUUGGUGCAAUUCCACUGAUUCCAAACUAUGCUAACAAAACUUCAUUAGCAAGGGAUCUGGCCUACUCUGCCCAUACUAGAGCCAUGCUCGCAAACAUCAGCUGUGGCACUUGGCUUUAAAGUUCCUGCAGCUCUUCACUGUAUUUAUGUAAAAAGGCAGCUAAAUAUGCAUUUCAUCAUGAUUUUAGCUUAGAAUAACUUUGAGAUAGAACAAUCUCUCUGUAAAGUUCCAAAAGUUUGAGAAGAAUGAUUAUUUCUGUAACUAAAGCUGCAAAAAUGGCCAUAAGCUUGAGAGCUGCCUUCUGCCUUGCAGGCCUGCUGCCCUUGAGCUCUAGCCUUGCUGCCGAGCUCUUGCUGACUGUCAAGUCACCCAAAUUCAUGGGUGGCUUUGAGAAUGAGCUCACAUAUAACUAUCAGCAGCUACAAUGGCUCAGAGGGCCGGAGCACAUAUGGGGUACCAGGGAACACAAUGAGUUUUGCACAAACAGCAUGCAGUUUUUAAAGAUUUGUAACACUGAUUUCAAAACCAAAUUUCUUCCAGAAAAGCCCCUAAUUCCUGCCUUGGGACCACGAGUGUGCCUGAGCACAAGAUGCUGAAGCAAAGCUGGUUUUGAGCUGCUACAGUAAGAGAGAAAAGGCAAGAAGACUCAAAAUAUUGUCUGCGGUCAAAGAUUCUCUUAGUUCUUCAGAUCACUGGCAAAAAGGAAGGGCUUGCUGUUGAGAGCGAAUAAGAGAUCCUUUAGCACGUUGAUAAUUUUCUGUCAGAACCAAAGGUAUAUAACAACAAAGUUUGGGAAUGCAGGAGUCAUCUCAGCUCUCGUCCACCUCAAGUCUAACACGCAGUGCCUUGCAGUGUGACACUUAUUGUGUCAGUGUCGGUGUGAAGCACAGUUUCUGGCUUCCAGUUUGAGCAGAUCACCUGAAAUCCCAGUGUUCCAGCUCUGCUUUUAAUUAGCUUCUUCUCAGGAAAACCUGCCUCGGCUUCGGUGGGAAGGUGCCUCAGCUAGAUAAGGGAAAAGAAACACCACCACCUAGCAGGCAGACCUAGAUGUGGUUCAGCACAGUGGGAGCAAAACACAGUUGUUUCUGGAUUCACAACAAAAAAUUCGUAGCCUAUAUUUGCCUCACAUACAAGACUGCUUUUGUACGCUGGCCUAAGCAUACACCAGGGAGGAAAUGCUGAAACUUAGAGAUCUUCAGCCCCACUGAGGGGAGCACCAGCACAGUGGGAUGAGGGCCCAGGCCCAGUGCACAGCACUCUGUGACCAAGACACCUCCCGCAGAAGUGUCACCAGUUCCUUUGUGUCACUGCGGAGCCAAGAGGAUUUCGGCUCUGACCAAAUUCAGACGGGAAAAGCACGGAGUUUCACAAAAAUCCAGCAGGAAUCACAGAGGGAGCCAAGUUGUGUGAAAAGCUCGUCCACCGGUUUGCUUGCCAAAGUGCAUUACAAUUCAGGUCGCACAAAACCGAAACAAAUACUCUGAGUUCCUCCCAAACAAUCUAAAAUUCUCCCCCUCCGAACCUACUUGUUUUGAAAUGUCUUUAAGGAUUUCUUCCUUUCCCUUUAAAAAUCAGUUCUUACUAAUUGUCAAAAUAAACCCUUAGUUUAAAAACAGAAAUGAAAACAUCGCAUAGGAAAGUACCAAAACAAAACAUUACCUCUGUUUGGGAGAGACAGACCUUUUCUCUUGCAACAAUUUCACAUGUUUUAAAGCAACUCAUUGUUUCUG
ensembl:lncRNA